rnacentral:rRNA from 1 species
GGUGGGGAUGACGUCAAGUCCUCAUGGCCCUUAUAGGUGGGGCUACACACGUCAUACAAUGGCUGGUACAAAGGGUUGCCAACCCGCGAGGGGGAGCUAAUCCCAUAAAACCAGUCGUAGUCCGGAUCGCAGUCUGCAACUCGACUGCGUGAAGUCGGAAUCGCUAGUAAUCGUGGAUCAGAAUGUCACGGUGAAUACGUUCCCGGGUCUUGUACACACCGC